AGCUAAGGAAGGGUUGACCCUCAAACAGAAGGGUUUCAGAAAAGCUGUAGCUGGCCAUUUUAGACAUUUCCCCACUAGAUCAUUCCUAAGGCGAUGUUAAUGAAAAGAAGUACAAAAGAUAUGUAGGAAUGAUUCUCUGAACUUUUCAAAAAUUGGAUUUUUUUUGUUUUGUGUUUGCACGAAGUUAGGCCAAGAGCCUGGAGAAUCAAAGCUUGCCGUGAGCUGCUCUUAGACCUUUGCACCCACGAAGACACUGUUGCUGAAUCAGGUCUGUGGUUGUGUUUGCGCACACCCAAGAAACACACAUGUGCUGAUAGAAAACAGAUUUAAAAGGUACCUUGAAUAAUAGCUUUUUAAGACAGUGUUACAGUCAUAUAACUUGUUGGGAAAAGCACACCAUGGCUCACAGUCUGAAUUAAACAUGUGUCAUUGUGGCUAAGAAAAAAGGCUAUUACCUUCCACAAACCUGAUGUCUUGGACCAAAUCCCUCUCUGAACAGGUUGCACGCUGCCCUUUUCGAAAUCAAGCUAUCAGAAGAUGCCCUUCAGCAGAAGUGUUAAAAGGACUUGUUGCGAUCUGUGAGGAUUACUGGCUGGAGAAGCUGCAAGCUGAAUUCACACCAGCUGUCUGCGCUGGACUCAUCAGCAAGCAUCUCGAAACCAAAAAUGCCAAUUAUUGUAGAUAGCAUUGUACUUCUCAUAAAAGUUAUAGGAAAAUGUUCAAGAUCUCAGGGAUUCUCAAGCCGUGAAGAAUGCUUUCCAUCCUGCUGUAGCAAUAGACAAUUCUGGCAGUAGUUGAUUAGGUGACUUUGAAGAGGAACCAUAGUGAGCAUUGGAGGAAGGGACUUGGACACCGUCGUAGAGCUGAUGCUCCUCCGGGAUGUUAAUGCUGACCAGCAACGCUGGCACUCGUUUUUCGGAUGAGAGCAUGCCCGAAGCCCGACCUGCUAAAGCAAGCACUGCAGCAGGACUCUGAAGUAUGCACAGCGGAAGAGGGCGCGAGAGAAGAGGAAUGUGUGGUAUUGCUCUGCGUCGCUCUGGCACAAUUGUCCUGGUGGUACUGUUUCAGCUGGUGUAAUCGAGAACAGCCCUGUGGCUACGCGGAAGCACGUGGAGCUCCUUUUUCUGGCCCUUAUAUGGCACGCGAUCGCAGCCCGGCUGGUGGAGCUUGCAGCCGCUCUUCCUCGUUGCUCUCUCUAGGAGCAACGAGCACAAAUUUGACAUGUUUAGGAAUCUGGCCUCGUAUUUUAAAACUCCAUGCAAAUAUGGUAAUAAUAACGAAAGUGACAUUUGCUUUAGCUUCUGUAUAGUGUGUCUUUAAUAUGAUUACUACCCUUAACAUUUAAAGAAACUUUGACAGUUAUGUAAUCCCUUCAACAUUUAAGUACAACAGGAAUUUAUUAUUAAGCGCAGUGGCUGGAAAUGGAGCACUUUUUUCAUUCACACUAUAAACAGUUGUGUUGGAUUAGUAAUCCUGCUUGUCAGAGUUGUUCACUGUUUGAUAUUAAUCAGCAGGUUUAUGAAAGGUGCAAUAAAAGGCAGAAAUGAACAGUGAAGAAGUUGUAAACCUGGGUUCCAUAAAAUUAGUCUGUAUCUAACACUUAGGAUCACAACAUUUCUUGCACUGACCAUGAGAUUAAGGGGAAAGGAAGUACUACAUUAUGGUAAUGUACUCGUAACUAUCUUUUGCUAAACAUGUAUUUGGUUUCUCACAAUAUAAAUGCAAUAAUAGAUAGGAAAAACAAGACUUUUAAAAACAUUUUAGAUUGUUUUUUAAAGAGUGCAUUUUUCAGGCUGUUGUACAGAUCGAAUGAGAUACCACCUAGUAGAACUUCAUGAUCAAAUAUUACAUGAGAAAAUGAACACUAUCUCCUUCUGUUGCUUAUCCACUAUUAAAAUCAUGUGCAAAUCACUUCACCUGAAUAUUUCUAUCUAAUUUUGGGGUUGUUAUCUUUGAGCUACAUAAUUAAUUUCUGUAUCUUGCAAACUGUGUUGCACUAUAAGGUUUUUUUUCCUUUAGCACUGCAAAAUCUCUGCUACACAUUCAUACAGCAUGUACAGAGGAGCCACGUCCUUUGGUUGUAAAUGUCAUCUUGCAAGAUCUUUAGGUGAUCAAAGUGAAAAUGACACCAUUGUAA